rnacentral:rRNA from 1 species
GAUGAACGCUGGCGGCGUGCCUAAUACAUGCAAGUCGAGCGAACAGACGAGGAGCUUGCUCCUCUGACGUUAGCGGCGGACGGGUGAGUAACACGUGGAUAACCUACCUAUAAGACUGGGAUAACUUCGGGAAACCGGAGCUAAUACCGGAUAAUAUAUUGAACCGCAUGGUUCAAUAGUGAAAGACGGUUUUGCUGUCACUUAUAGAUGGCUCCGCGCCGCAUUAGCUAGUGGGUAAGGUAACGGCUUACCAAGGCGGAGAUGGGUAGCCGACCUGAAAGGGUGAUAGGCAACGCUGGGACUGAGAGACGGUCCAGACUACUACGGGAGGCAGCAGUCGGGAAUCUUCCGGGAUGGCCGAAGGCCUGACGGUGCAACGCCGCGUGAAAGAUUAAGGUCUUCGGAUCGUAAAACUCUGUUAUGAGGGAAGAACAAAUGUGUAAGUAACUAUGCACGUCUUGACGGUACCUAAUCAGAAAGCCACGGCUAACUACGUG